GCCUGAUUAGCUCAGUGGUAGAGCGUUGCACUUGUACGUUUUCGAAGCACAUGCAAAGGUCGCUUGUUCAAUCCAGGCAUUAGGCA
rnacentral:tRNA from 1 species